UGUUUGUAAACAGUAUUUAUUGAUUUUAUGUCACUAUUAUUAUUGAAAGAAGUGUAUUUACGUCAGACAUUUUCGUGUGUUAUAAGAUAGCUUUGGGGUAUAGGCACAAAUUAAUCUAAUUUGUUGGUUAUUAAAGAACAUUACUCUGUCGAAUUUGUGUCUGCGCACGAUCGAUAAGUUUCUGCGCAAUUGUUUUGAAACGAGAAGGGGUCCAAUUAAGAUAACACAUGUUAAAUUCUUUUUGUAUAACAGAAACAACUCACAAGAAACAUGGAGGCAACAUCUUUAGAUCACAAAGUAUGAUGGAACCUAUUGGGUCCAGUUCUUUAAAGAAAGCUCAAAAGAAAAGUGGACUUUAAUGCCAAAAGUGUUUAGUGUAUUACAGUCAGAGUUUGAUAAAUUGUUACAGCCACCAGACUUGAUAUUCGAAAGUGCAUCCAGAUUUUUUUACAAAUUUCCUGACUUUUUGGUUUGAAGUUGUUGAACAUACAGAAUUAAUUUGGCUUUAAAAUCAUGAAUUUAUAAAUAGUAAUCAUGUUAACUAAGUAUGUUACGUUUUAGGAAAACUGAUCUUUUUUAUAAAUCCACAAGACUAUCAUCAGAUUUUUUACAUGGAGAAUCAAUUCAACAACUUAUUUUUAUGGGUAAUUAUCAUAUCAUUACUACAUUGGUUACUUAGGAUCAUUGUAAUUUAAUUAAAGUCCCUUGCAAUAGUAAUAUUCCAUUUAAAGUACUGAUAUGCUUCAAUGUGCUUUAUCUCAUGGUUACAUUUAAAUAGAAUAUUCCUGUAGUAAGAUUGUUACUAUAUAUAUUUUUUUAAUUGAAUUGAGACCAUGGAUCAGACAUGUCAGAUGGAUACACAAAAUUUAUUUCCAGUUUUUUGCCUAUCAUUACUUUUACAACUACAGGUUAAUAUUAUUUGUUGUCUCUUUCACCGUGAAGAUCUGAUUUAACCAGUAUUUUUUUAAAUAAAGGUGCUUUUUAUGUUAUUUUUAUAAAUAUAUAUCAAGUAUAUUGUAAAAUUCUUCAAAAAGGGUUUUUAGACCCAUUUUUUUGUGUUUAUUUGUUUGUUGGGUUCAACAUUUCACUCAUAACAUGCUGACAAAUUGGGUUCAGCAUUUCACUCAAAACAAGCUGACAAAUUGGGUGCAGCACAGCUGAAACAAGUACUUGUAUUCUUCAUAUUUAAUAAUGUAUCCAUAAUCCAGUGCUCUUUUCGAAAAUCUUUUUGAUUAUAAUGUGUAUAGUUGUAAAUAUAGUUGUUGAUUUCAUUGAAUCUUAAACAUGUUAACAUUUGAAAAAGAUGGACAAAUUGAUUAUUUAGGGUUGAAUAGAAACCAUACAUCAAUUUCAGUUCUUUUCUAUUAUUACUUUUACAACUACGGGUUAAUAUUAUUUGUUGUCUCUUUCACAGUGAAGAUCUCAUUUAACCAGUAUUUUUUUUUAAAUAAAGGUGCUUAUUAUGUUAUUUUUAUAAAUAUAUAUAUGAUGUUUAAUGUUAAAUUUUUAACAAGGGUUUUUAGACCCAUUUUUUGUGUUAAUUUGUUUGUUGGGUUCAACAUUUUACUCAUAACAUGCUGACAAAUUGGGUUCAGCAUUUCACUCAAAACAAGCUGACAAAUUGGGUGCAGCACAGCUGAAACAAGUACUUGUAUUCUUCAUAUUUAAUAAUGUAUCCAUAAUCCAGUGCUCUUUUCGAAAAUCUUUUUGAUUAUAAUGUGUAUAGUUGUAAAUAUAGUUGGUUGACAGAUUGAAUGUGUUUGAAACAUGAUUUUUUUCAUUUAAUCUUAACCAUGUUAACAUUUGAAAAAGAUGGACAAAUUGAUUAUUUAAAAUUGAAUUGAACCCAUACAUCAAUUUCAGUUCUUUUCUAUUAUUACUUUUACAACUACGGGUUAAUAUUAUUUGUUGUCUCUUUCACAGUGAAGAUCUCAUUUAACCAGUAUUUUUUUUUAAUAAAGGUGCUUAUUAUGUUAUUUUUAUAAAUAUAUAUUGUUAAAUACUUCAACAAGGGUUUUUUACCCAUUUUUUUAUGUUUAUUUGUUUGUUGCUUCAAAUGUUGGGUUCAGCAUUUCAUUCAUAACAUUCUGAAAAGUUUCAUUUUUACCAUCCUUAAUGGUGUUUAAAGACUUUUAUCUUUCUCUAUAACCAAAAUAUAUGAAAUUUUGGUAAAUUCAUGGUGUUAUUGACUUUGUUUUUAUAGUAUUCACCACUUUAGUUGGAAGGGAAAACAUUAAAAUUCUAAGGUUUAAUGGCCUAAAACAUUUUUACAACGCAAUGACAUUACACUUUUUUGAUAAUUUGUGGUACUCUAUUUACCAUUUCAUGCAUUUUAAGAAAAUCGAUAGAGUAGAGAGAUUUUAUGAUUUUAAGAUAAAUUGUUCUUUUUAUGCAAAAAUUAACAUACUUUGGACAUGUUGAAAGAACUCAAUCAGUUUUUUUUUUAAUUUGAAAAAGAUAAAUGCAUUAUUUUUUUCAAUUAUCUGUUCAACAAACAAUGGGAAGCAAAAUUUUACCACAAUCUGUUCCAUUGCCUGUUUACUGUAACUUGACCUUAAUAUAUUUUGUUUUUAAUUGUUCAUGUUCCUAAUGUAAAGGUUUUAAUUUCAUUAACAAUGUUGAUAUACAUGAUCAUGACAAUAUAGUGCUUAUUUGUUACCUAAAUAUAAUGCCUUAUCUUGUUGAUAUAGUGCUUAUUAUGCCCCACCUACGAUAGUAAAGGGUCAUUAUGUUUUCUGGUCUUUGCGUCUGUCCGUCUAUUAGUUUGUCCGUCUGUCCCACUUCAGGCUUAAGUUUUUGGUCAAGGUAGUUUGUGAUGAAGCUGAAGUCCAAUCAACCUAAAACUUAGUACAUAUGAUCCUUAUAUGAUCUUUCUAAUUUUAAAGACAAAUUAAAAAUUUUUACCCCAAUUUCACGAUAACACUGAACAUUGAAAAUGAAAGUGCGAGUUUCAGGUUAAACUUUUUGGUCAAGGUAGUUUUUGAUGAAGUUGAAGUCCAAUCAACUUGAAACUUAGUACACAAGUUCCCUAUGAUAUGAUCUUUCUAAUUUUAAUGCCUAUCUUUAUUUUUUACCCAUUUUCAUUGAACAUGGAAACUGAUAGUGCGAGAGGGGCAUCCAUGUACUUUGGACACAUUCUUGUUUUGUUACCUAAAUCUGAUGCAUGGGUAUAAACCUAACCCUGACACAAACACUUUGGGCUAAACAUUUAUUGCUUUACUGAUACUCAUCUUUUUAUAUAACAGCAAAACAGCAAAUGUGCCACUUGAGAAGAUUCAUCAUAAUUCUAUUUUAAUGCAAAAAACAUUCCUGAUUUAUUAUGUUUUUUAACUCUCCAUUAUCAUGAUUAUGAUCUCCUUGAAUUAUUUUUUUUUAAACUCCAAAUAUAUCAUAUAAUCUGGUUUUGCAGUAUUAUUUACAUGGUUAAUAUUAAUUUGAAUUUAAUUAUGUGAAAAAAUAGAUUUAGCAGUGUGUAUCAAAUGGUAAAUCAAGAUUAAUAAAUAUUCAAUAGCAAUUCCAAUAAAUGCAAAGUGACAUUCCAAAACAAAUAUCUUGUAUGUCAAUGUCUUCGUUUGCUCUUUUGAUGAUGUCUGUUUUUUUUAAAUGAAAUUUUUAAUAAUCAGUGUCAGAUCUUACAUGGCAAAUUAUUAUUUUAUUUUUUUACUGACAUCCAUAAAGACAUCUAUUAUUGUCUAUAGCAAACAAAUUUGAGUGUAAUUAUAUACUUUCAGUGUGAACUGAAAUAUAUAAACUAUUAGAUUAUUAUUUGAAUUUUAUUCAGAAUCAUGUCAACAUGUACAUAUGUUAUGCAAAAUAAAUGUGUUUUAAUUGUUA